GGGCGAGUGGCGAAACGGCAGACGCGUUAGCUUUAGGAGCUAAUGCUCGAAAGAGCGUGAGGGUUCGAGUCCCUCCUCGCCCACCG
rnacentral:tRNA from 1 species